rfam:Salmo salar isolate Sally breed double haploid chromosome ssa15, whole genome shotgun sequence.
GAAUGCAAUUACUGUAAGUCGCUCUGGAUAAGAGCAUCUACUAAAUGACUUAAA